ACUUCAACAACGGAUCUCUUGGUCUGGCAUCGAUGAGACGCAGCAUGCGAUAGUAAUGUGAAUUGCAGAUUCCGUGGUGACGAUCUUGAACGCACAUUGCAACCGGUGGUAUUCGCGGGUAUGCUGUCGACGUCAU
rnacentral:rRNA from 1 species